AUUGAACGCUGGCGGCAGGCCUAACACAUGCAAGUCGAACGAGUGGCGGACGGGUGAGUCAUGUCUGGGAAACUGCAUUAUGGAGGGGGAUAACUACUGGAAACGGUAGCUAAUACCGCAUACCAUCCGAUGUUCCCAGAUGGGAUUAGCUAGUAGGUGGGGUAAAGGCUCACCUAGGCGACGAUCCCUAGCUGGUCUGAGAGGAUGACCAGCCAAACUGGAACUGAGCAAAGGUCAAGACUCCUACGGGAGGCAGAAGUGGGGAAUAUUGCACAAGGGGAGAAAGCCUGAUGCAGCCAUGCCGAGUGUAUGAAGAAGGCCUUCGGGUUGUAAAGUACUUUCAGAGGGGAGGCGUUACCCGCAGAAGAAGCACCGGCUAACUCCGUGCCAGCAGCCGCGGUAAUUC
rnacentral:rRNA from 1 species